rnacentral:rRNA from 6 species
CGGAUGCGAUCAUACCAGCGCUAC